UUUUUUUUUUUGGUCUACCACCUUUCUUUCUCUCUGUGUAAGGGUGGGAUUGUGAUGUUGAAAUUUUUCAUCUCUCUACAUACAUAUCAAUGUGCCUCGGUGAUGCAGCUGAAAUUGGAGGUUUUGUUGAAGUCUAAAAGGUUGCAUAGGCAUCACACCUAGGGUUGAAUUGCAUCACAUAUCUCGAAACAUAAUUGCUAGAAUUUGUGUUGAUUAAAAAACUGAGAAACAAUAUUACAAACAUGGAUGUUUAUAGACUCACAAAGUUAAUCCUUAUCCUCUAAGGAUUUGGACUCCUAAAAGUAAAUCUCAACCUUUAAUUAAUCUAAAAAGUAAUCCUAAAAAUUAAUCCUUAAGGAGUCUAAUUGAAGAAUACUCUAGAAAUCUAGAUUUUUUUAGCAAAUAUGAAAUUGCAAAACUAUCCCUGUGACGUAAAUAAAUACCAACAAUUAAUGUACAUAAGUAGACACACAAGUAAAACUCUGAAAGAACUAGAAAAUACUCUAUAAUUUCCCCAAUAAAGUUUACAUUAAAACUGAACUAUAAUCCAUUUUAAUAUGAGGUUAAUACGGGUAAUUAUUCUCCUUGUAAUUUUUAACCUCUCAUU
rnacentral:misc_RNA from 1 species